ACCCAGAGAGAGGCAGUUGGAGCCAGGGUCUCUGGUUUUGAGACAACUAAGGAGAAGGUCCAGUCUUUGACUGGGUCCUGAUCCCAAGAAACCCUUUCUUUCAUUAACUCCUGAUCUCUAUACUCCCCAAACCCCUCCAACAAUUAGACAGCCUGAAAAGAAGAUAAUCAACAAGAAGAAUCAUCACAGUCUCCUCUCCUGAACUGAGGUAAAUUUCCCAAUCUUCCACUGGACUGAAGAAGAGCCGUAAAAUCUGCAAUCUUUUUGUGGCCCAGCUUUGUCUUAUUGAAUUGCCUUAAGUAAAUCUCUCAACUUUUCUAUAUGAAAGGAGGAAAACACUAGGAUCUGGAACUUGUGGGAAAGAAUUCAUCAUUAAAAACCACUUUGGAUCAGAAUUCUAGAACUGAGUUAUUAACAAAUGAACUGGGCUCAUGAUAAUGGGAAUACUUUUUAAAAAAAGUGGGGGUGUGGGUGGGACAGGGACAGGGGUUGAGGGAAAAGAAUAUACUGGCACAGCUUCCCAAACAUCCAUAGAAUUUCUCUGGUUGGUAUUAGUACUCUGGAUUAAUUAUUAAAGUACCUUCCAGGACUUAUGGUUUCACUUUCUCAUCUGUUCAAGAAAAAUAAAUGAACUGAAAACCUUCAUACAUUUAGUGUGAGAAGAGAAUAAUGUUGAUCUAUAUCUUUCUUUGAUGUUUUCCUGCUUUUCUUAAAAUUCAGAGCACCUUUCAAAAGUAAAACUAUUCCACAAAAGAUUGAUUUAAGAUAACAAAUUUUUAGGGCAUUUUAUUGGUCCAUUUAUUCUCUGAAUGUUCAACAGAACUUUUACCUGCCUGUAAUUUAGUAUGAACACCAUUUAUAAUAAUUAUAUAUCCAGCUGGGUGCCAUUUAGAAUGGGAAAAUGGAUUCAUUCUUCUCUGUGUACUCUGUAUGAUAUGUCAUGCCAGUAAUAAAAUGAUUAAAAAUCUGCAAUAAAAAUA